rnacentral:rRNA from 1 species
UGGGGAAUCUUGGACAAUGGGCGAAAGCCUGAUCCAGCAAUGCCGCGUGCGUGAAGAAGGCCUUCGGGUUGUAAAGCGCUUUUGUCGGGGAGGAAAUCCUAACGGUUAAUAACUGUUGGGGAUGACAGUACCCGAAGAAUAAGGACCGGCUAACUACGUGCCAGCAGCCGCGGUAAUACGUAGGGUCCAAGCGUUAAUCGGAAUUACUGGGCGUAAAGCGUCCGCAGGUGGCUUGAUAAGAUAGACGUGAAAUCCCUGGGCUCAACCUAGGAAUUGCGUUUAUGACUGUCUCGCUAGAGUAUGGGAGAGGGGGGUGGAAUUCCGCGUGUAGCAGUGAAAUGCGUAGAGAUGCGGAGGAACACCGAUGGCGAAGGCAACCCCCUGGCCUAAUACUGACACUCAUGGACGAAAGCGUGGGGAGCAAACAGG